GAAGCGGAUCCAGCCGUAUCCACGAGGGAACUUGCUAUCAGGAUGAAAGUUGACCAUACAACGAUAUUGAGACACCUUUCUGAGAUUGGCAAGGUUAAGAAGAUGGACAAGUGGGUACCGCACGCACUGACAAAGCGAAAUAAGCUGGAUCGGUUAAACGAAAGCUGAAGUUUCGUGUCAUCCAACAUUUAAUGCGAGACAGAGGGCUUAUUCUCCAUAAUACACUUCGCCAGAACGGCGACGAAGGAGACUGCGAGUAUAACGGCGAUGAUCUUCAUGUUCGACUUCUGUUUCGACCUGAAACGACGGGUUCACGAUCAACGGAUGACUGAAUACUCGGAGGAUACUGUCUCGAGUUUUUAUAGCUUGAGACAUGAUGACGAUGAUGAAUAUCUCCUUUUUCACGAGCUGCGAAGAUAUUCGAGACAGUUAUACCGUUAUGCCUUCAGGGACAUGUUUUAUUAUAUCAUACUCACGAGACAAAUAGUAGUAGGAAAUAAUACAUAUACAUCUUAUGCUUCGAAACCUGUUUAAUAAGAAUACUAAUAACGGGGCUACGAUAUGAGUUAUGAAAGGACAUUAAUUCUUUGACAUAAAACCGCAAGCGACAUGUCAGUAACGAGACGAAAAAAACGUUAUAAUCAUCUUUAAUUGUUUAGUUACACAACGAUUGCACAACGUGACGAUGACAAUAGAUACGAGACAUAAUCUGACAUCAUUUAAUAACCUUUUGUAUCAUUAGUAUAGUUGGUUAUCUCUAUUUUUAUUACUUCUUGUGCCAGCGUUUUUUUCCCAUGAGUUAUUACACGGACAAUCUUUUAGAGAUUUGCAAAGAUUGCUUCCUGUCAACACGAAUGAAACUUUACAUCUGAUGUCUUUCCUCGUAUUUUUCUGAUUACCAAAACUUAAUAGUGAAUAUUCGUCGCGAUAUCACGUAAAUUUAGCAGACGAUUAAAUGCAACACGUGUAUAUUGCAGCUUACAAUACAUUUUAAAUAUAUACAUGAUUAACAUUAAAAUAAUUUGGUCUCACCAGAACGGCGACGAAGGAGACUGCGAGUAUAACGGCGAUGAUCUUCAUAUGAUCUGAAUAGGUUAACGUUUAUAUAAAAUAAAAAAUAAAGAACAUAAAAGAGAGGGAGAGAAAAAGAGAGAAUAGUAAGAACAAUUAUAUUAUCGACAAGGAUAAUCGAUAAGAAAAUGCGUAGUAACGAAUAUACGAGUCGGUUUUCCUUUGAAUUGCACUUAUGCCAGAAUCUAUUCUCAGAAACUCGAUUAUUCCAUAAUAUACCACAUUAUUUCCAUAAUAUACCACAGUAUAGCUUUAAAUAAUUUUCCUGUUGCAUUCUUGCUUGCAGUUUGCAAUCACAUUAAUAAGUGGCAUUCGGUCUUAAAAGAUCGCCAUGGAGUUAUAGGAUAAUUAUUUAAAAUUAAAAAUAUCUAAAUUAGAGAAUAUUUGACAUUUUUUUCAUCACACCAACAAUUAUCAGCUUGACGUUAUAUUUAUUUGUUACACUUAACUACCGUUGACUCUAUUUUAUUUGUUUUUCGACUUCGUACUUUGAUUCGUAUGAGAUUCCUUUUGUUUAAUUAACUUGUGAAUAGACGCUUGUACUGACACACGAACAAAUAAAUAUUUCUCUGUUUCA